CCUACGGGAGGCAGCAGUGAGGAAUAUUGGUCAAUGGACGAGAGUCUGAACCAGCCAAGUAGCGUGAAGGAUGACUGCCCUAUGGGUUGUAAACUUCUUUUAUAAAGGAAUAAAACGAGGCACGUGUGCCUUUUUGCAUGUACUUUAUGAAUAAGGAUCGGCUAACUCCGUGCCAGCAGCCGCGGUAAUACGGAGGAUCCGAGCGUUAUCCGGAUUUAUUGGGUUUAAAGGGAGCGUAGAUGGGUUGUUAAGUCAGUUGUGAAAGUUUGCGGCUCAACCGUAAAAUUGCAAUUGAUACUGGCAGUCUUGAGUACAGUUGAGGUAGGCGGAAUUCGUGGUGUAGCGGUGAAAUGCUUAGAUAUCACGAAGAACCCCGAGUGCGAAGGCAGCUUACUAAACUGUGACUGACAUUGAUGCUCGAAAGUGUGGGGAUCAAACAGGAUUAGAUACCCUUGUAGUC
rnacentral:rRNA from 1 species